rnacentral:rRNA from 1 species
AGCAUAUCAAUAAGCGGAGGAAAAGAAACCAACAGGGAUUGCCCUAGUAACGGCGAGUGAAGCGGCAACAGCUCAAAUUUGAAAGCUGGCUCCGGCCCGCAUUGUAAUUUGCAGAGGAUGCUUUUGGCGAGGUGCCUUCCGAGUUCCCUGGAACGGGACGCCAUAGAGGGUGAGAGCCCCGUAUGGAUGGACACCAGACCUGUGUAAAGCUCCUUCAACGAGUCGAGUAGUUUGGGAAUGCUGCUCUAAAUGGGAGGUAAAUCUCUUCUAAAGCUAAAUACCGGCCAGAGACCGAUAGCGCACAAGUAGAGUGAUCGAAAGAUGAAAAGCACCUUGAAAAGGGGGUUAAACAGUACGUGAAAUUGUUGAAAGGGAAGCGCUUGUGACCAGACUUGCGCCGGGCAGUUCAUCAGGGGUUCUCCCCUGUGCACUCUGCCCGGCUCAGGCCAGCAUCGGUUCUCGUGGGAGGAUAAGAACAGUGGGAACGUGGCCCCCUCUCGGGGGGGUGUUAUAGCCCAUUGUACGAUACUCUCGUGGGGACCGAGGUUCGCGCUCCGCAAGGAUGCUGGCGUAAUGGUCAUCAGCGACCCGUCUUGAAACACGGACCAAGGAGUCGUCCAUUAGAGCGAGCGUUUGGGUGUAAAACCCGCACGCGUAAUGAAAGUGAACGCAGGUGAGAGCUUCGGCGCAUCAUCGACCGAUCCUGAUGUCUUCGGAUGGAUUUGAGUAAGAGUUUUAACGGACGGACCCGAAAGACAGUGAACUAUGCUUGUAUAGGGUGAAGCCAGAGGAAACUCUGGUGGAGGCUCGCAGCGGUUCUGACGUGCAAAUCGAUCGUCAAAUAUGAGCAUGGGGGCGAA